ACAGCUUGCUGGAAAACCAAGAGUUGGGCAACAGCUUGCUGGGAAACAGAGUGGGUAGCACGAACAUGCGUGAAUCAUUGAAAUUGGUGGUUUGUGUCAAACUGUAUAAAGGACAGAAACAGGCAAAAGAUCGGGGCUACUCCUCGGCAGAUCUCGGAGGGCGUCGGACGGGCAAUAGGUCUCCAGACUACGCAGCCUCAACCAAGAAAAAGAAUUGGGAUUUGGACAAUUGGAACAGCAAAAGAGGCCGUGUUGUCGCAGAUUCUUCUUCUCUUCUCUCCGUAAGGAGCUCCAGCUGAAGGAGACAACAGAAUUUGUUAUGUCUUUGCAUUUCCCACAAGGAGGGAUCGCUGAUUCAUCUCUGAAAUCCAAACAACAAGGAAGCAAUUUCAAACAGCAG